rnacentral:sRNA from 1 species
GAAAGUAGAAGUGAUUGACCUAACCAUAGACAGUUCAUCUGAUGAAGAGGAAGAAGAGCCAUCUGCCAAGAGGACCUGUCCUUCCCUGUCUCCCACAUCACCACUAAAUAAUAAAGGCAUUUUAAGUCUUCCACAUCAAGCAUCUCCAGUAUCCCGCACCCCAAGCCUUCCUGCUGUAGACACAAGCUACAUUAAUACCUCCCUCAUCCAAGACUAUAGGCAUCCUUUCCACAUGACACCCAUGCCUUACGACUUACAAGGUGAGUCACUGGUUCUUCUGUAUUGUCACAUAGCAUUAUGAAUGCCUUUGAUCUAUAUAGUUCUCUUUUAGGUGAAUCUAAGGAAGAACUGGAAGACUGAGCCAACAGGGCCUUGGACCCAGGGAACUGAGAGAAAUAAUAUGCCGUCGUUAUAAAUACUGACCCAGUUCCUUGAUUUUACUGUCAUCAGUAGUCAGUGUUUUACUCCCAGUGGUAAAACUAGUGCAAUAAUCUUUAGUUUUUGUGAGCUACUAAGUACUCUGCAAAUUGUUUUUGAAUGACUGCUAGUAUGUGGGUUUGAAUUUUGGUAUCUAUGAACAUUAUUUUUUUUUGCUGUGGGGGACGGAGUCUCGCUCUGUUGCCUGGGCUGGAGUGCGGUGGCGCAAUCUAAGCUCACUACAACCUCCGCCUCCCAGGUUCAAACAAUUCUCCUGCCUCAGCUUCCCAACCGAGUAGCUGGGAUUAUAGGCGCCCACUACCACACUGGGCUAAUUUUUUGUAUUUUUAGUAGAGACAGGG